AUGAUGUUCAAGGACUACAGAUCUGCUCGAGCUGUAGGUCUGAAUCCGCUGCCCUUUGACCCUGCCACAAACAACGAACCCCUGCAAUUCAACAGCUCCAAUGGUCCUCUGGUCUCCGACUGUCCUCUGGAAAACGGAACAGAAAACAGCAAAAAGAGAAAGAGACCCAACCUUCCUCCAGGUACGCUUAAUGAUUUCCUCUCGCUUCAGACCACGCACACUCACACUCGCCAGGCCCCACAGUCGUUAACUGCAUUCACAUCGUUAUUUCUGCCGCUGCUCUUUCCCUGACCUUUGAAUGUGGGAGGUGAACGCCUGGGGCUCCUGCAUUCUGAGAGACGUUCACUUCAAAUUAUCACCUUCAUUAAAACAUCAGAACAGAAACCUCAGGUUAUUUCCACUUUUCUAGUAGCUUUGAUCUCAUAAUUUGACAUAAACAUUGAGGUUAAUAGAAUAAAAUCUAAUUAAAAUAUGCCUGGAAUACAACACUAAAAAUAAGUGACCAAACUACAGAUUUCUUGAGGAGUGGCUCAAGCGCUUCUUCUCGUAUCUUCUUACAGUUAUGACUAACACCUUGCAAUCUGGGUUUUUAAAAUGUAAAAGCGAAUCUGGAUAUAUGCCAGACAUGAACAGAGACACACUGUCUGACGCUGAUAACCUUCAAAAUUACACUUGAAAAGUAACGCCCAGGGAAUUUUACAAACCUUUCUGAUGCAGGUUGGCUCAAAUGAACAAGAGCCUACUCAUAUUCAUCCUAAUGUUAAUGGCGUACUAAUUAAUUGAAUUAUGAUUAUCUGAAAUGGAUCUUGGAAAGGCUACUUAUUGUUUCUGGUUGUCAAGGCGACUUAAUUGGAUCAGAUUAAUUGUUAAUGUUAAUUAGGCAGUCUUUUUCCUGUUCAGCAUUUUAAAAUCUUUAUUUAUGGCCACAUGACCAGAGCUUGUGGAAUUCAUUUACAGUAUGUGACCAUGUUUUACAAGGACAAUCCACCUGGAUAACGAUGGCUCAGGUUUUUUAUUUUUAUUUUUUAUUUGGGUUUUGAACCUGCAACCUUCCGAGUCUGUCAUUCGCUUAAUAAUUGUACAUUUCAGCAGUCAUGUGUUUCCACACAUGCUGUUCUAUGUAAAUAUGGUCUCCAUUUGAAGUCUUGCCGCUCUGAUCUCCAGGCCCUUGAUGGUCACUUCUCCCUCAGGAACACUGCCGCCAUUCAUGACUUGAAGUGACUCUGAUUAGGGAUAAAUGGCAGCAAGUGACGGUGAGCAGAGCUUCUCAUCGUCGUAUAUGCUCAUAGAAUUGAUACAAAUGGAAGUGAAAUGGGCUCAUAUUGUGUUCUGGUCAUGGUGAAGAGCUGCUUGUGCAGAUCAAAGCUAGCCAGCAAGCUUUAGAUCAAAGCUUCCUAGCGCUAAUCUAAUCUGCCCAUUUCAGAACACUUUUUACUUUAGUGCAAGGACGUCAUUUGAGAAAGGCUUAGAUGAGCUGUAUUCACCAUACAUCGAAUAUUUAGACACUCCGGAGUCCGGCUGCUCAAAUGGAAGUCAGUGAGGUAAUGGGUUUCAGACAAAAUGUUUAAUUGUUCUGCUGUGGUUGAAGAAGAGCUUUUAAGAUUUUGUCGGUGUGGUGCUGCUCAUUUAGAAGAUGUAGGUUUGAGUCCAACAUCCUGUAAGACUUAGUCUUGGCUUAGUGAUGGGCUCUGUUGCUCAUGCAGACAAUGUGAUUUUAAUCUGGCUCGCAACACUCCCUAAUCUUACUCCUCAUAUUACUUUCUUUACUCUUCUUUAAUUGAAAGAGACAAAAUACUAAAACAGGACACAGUAAUAGGUCAAGAGCUGUGGCUUAACAUAAAGCUGAGGUGAUCAUUCAGACAAUUUGAGUUCUAAUCUGGCUCGCAACAUUCUCCAGUAUUGCUCCUCUUGUUACUUCCUCUACUCUCCUUUAAUUUAAAGAGACAUAAGACUAAAAUAGGACACUUUAGUAUGUUUGAGCAGUGGCUUAACAGAAAGCUGAGGUGCUCAUUCAGACAAUUUGAGUUCAAAUCUUGCUUGCAACAUUCCCUAAUCUUACUCCUCAUAUUACUUUCUUUUCUCUCCUUUAAUGGAAGAGACAAAAGCCUAAAACAGGACAUUGUAGUAGGUCAGAGCUGUGGCUUAACAGAAAGCUGAGGUGAUCAUUCAGACAAUUUGAGUUCUAAUCUGGCUCGCAACAUUCCCUGAUUUUGUUCCUCUUAUUAUUCUCCUUUGAAUGAUAAACAACUAAAAAUAGAACUUUUGAAUGUUGGAGCUAUGUCUUAACGGGAAGCUGAGGUGCUUAUGCAGACAAUUUGAGUUCACAUCUUGCUCGCAACAUUCUCUAAUAUUGCUCCUCUUGUUACUUUCUGUGCUCUCUUUUAAUUGAAAGAUACAAAAGACUAAAAUAGGACACUUUAGUAUAUCAGUGCUGUGGCUUAACACAAAGCUGAGACGUUCAUGCUGAGAAUUUUAGUUCAAAUCUGGCUCGCAACAUUCCCUGAUUUGUGCUCCACUUAUUGUUCUUCUUUGAAUGAAAAUGACAAAAGACUUAAAAUAGAACAUCGUUGUAUGAUGGAGACAUGGCCUAACAGAUAGCGGAGUUGCUAAUGCAGACAAUCUGAGUUCAAAUCUGGCUUGCAACAUUCCCUAAUCUUGCUCCUUUUAUUACUUUGUCUACUCUACUGUAAAUAGAAACACUAAAAAUAGGUUGCAUGUCAGAGAUGUGGGUUUAUAGAAAGGUUUUUCUUAUUAAUUUCUCUACUCUCCUUUUAAUGAAUGAGACAAAAGACUAAAAUAGUACACUAGCUUAACUGAAAACGGAGGUGCUUGUGCAGCUUUUGCAGACGCUUUGAGUUCACAUCUGGCGUGCAACAUUCCCUAACCUUGCCCUUUACUCUCUUAUUACUCUCUCUACUGUCUUCUAAAUAAAAAAAUAACAAAAGCCAGGGCAGUUAAAGCCGGUCACACUAGACUUUCAGCAUACAAAAUAUCUUCAGGCACUCCAACAGUCAUAUAACAUCACACUCUGCAGCGUUGGUGCGCAUGCAGACAAUUUAAGUUCUAAUUCGGCUCGCAACCUUUCCUGAUCUUAUAUUACUCUCCUUUAAAUAAAAUUGUCACAAGUCUAAAAACAGGUCAUGUUGUUUGUCAGAGCUGUGGCUUAACAGAAAGCUGAGUUGCUCAUGCAGACAAUGAGUUCUAAUCAGGCUGGUAAUGUUUGCUAAUCUUGUCGUUUUAAUACUCAUUCUAAUCUCCUUUGAAUAAAGGCACCAAAAGACCAAAAAUAAGAAGUUUGAAGGACACACACCACUAAUAUUGGCUCAACUCAGUGGGAAGUGUGUAGUUUGCUUCUCAGUUACUCAGUGCAAUUAGCACCUGUCUGAUUUGUUAAGCCUUUGAUUGUGCUGGUUGAAUCACACAACUGUUGUCUCGAAUCUUUCAAUGCCUGGGCUCCUGUAAAGCCACUAGCACUUCACAGGCACUCUAAAUAGUUGUGCUGUACGCGUCUGCUUAGCAUCCGGGAGCUGUUUAAUGGGUUUUCUUUUUGAACAACGGCAGCAGUUUUCCUUCCCGGCCUGUCAUUAUGCCGUGCUCUUAUCCGCCGUGACUGUGCCUGAUCAAUCCGCUCCCUGAUGGAAACGCAUCUAAAUGAUGAAAAUUCGCAGCAUCUGGAGCAUAAUGCAUUCAGCUGCUCUGAUGUCCUCUGGCAACACAAGACAGAGUCGCUCCUCUGAGGAGUGGAGCUAAUGCAGGGGCGUGGACUAAUUACCAGCCAUGCAGAUUUACUCUCGUUAAAGCACUAUAAUGGAUAGAUUCAUCUCAUUAGCGCUGGCACUCCAUUAGACGCCCAACCCCGUAUCCCCCGCCCUGCUGCUGUUGAUGUUACUGGAUAACGGAUGCUCUGCGUAGAGCGAGUGGGUGAGAAUCGGCACAAUCGUACAGGACAGUUGGCAGGUUGUUUACAGUAUGGCCUGAACACUUUGUCGCUCUGAUCAGGAGAUACUUAAUUAGCACAAUAUAGCUAAUUCAAAUGUUUAAUGAACUAAAUAGUUUCAGCUGUGUUGAUACUGUCAACACAUCCUGGAACACAUAUUUAAGAUGGUUUUCUGCCAUUAUAUAUUGCAAUAUGAAAAAAAACACACACACACGAAAAAAAAAACAGGAAUUGAUCGUUUAAAUAGCUAGCCUAUAUUUGGAAAGAAAGAAUUAUUGUAGAGUGGUUUUGUUGGGAAGUGCAUCUGCGUAGAAAAUAAAAAUAAAUAUUUUUUUUAAUAUUAAUGUUUACGUUGAAAUUUAUUUAUUUUUAUUUUUUUGUCAUUUUAUUUUAUUUAUUAUUAUUUGACUAUGAUAUCUUUUUAGGGCUAGAUAAAUUGGGAAAAUCUUUAAAAAUUUGGGUGUUGUUACAAGAACUAACUCAAACCUCUUUCAGAAAUCUCUUUCCACUUGAGAUCUUAAAAACCAUUUUCCCACACUGACAAUUCAAUGUAACUAUAAAGUAAUGAUAAUAAUUGUAUUGUGCUUAUUAUAAAAUAAAANGAGGAG
rnacentral:lncRNA from 12 species